ACUCACUAUCAUCUUCUCUUUCAUCCAUCUAAUCAUUCACAUAUGUUCAACUUUUAUAUAACAAUAGUUUUUUGUGAUUAAAUAUCAUCAUAUUUGAGAAGACGUUUAAGUGAAAACGUUAUAAUUUGAUUGACUCAAUGUUUCACAAUGGUGACUCUGUUAUUUCACAAUGGUGACAUGAGAUUAAUCAUUAAGCCUUUCUAAACUUGAUGACAUGGCUAAUGCAAUGAACUCACGAGAUAUCUUCUCCUAAUAUCAUG
rnacentral:lncRNA from 1 species